AUUCUCCCUAAAAUCUACUCUUCCCACGCACGGGUUCGUGCGGGAACGUGAAUGGUAAUUUUCAAAAACUCGCGCUCGAUUUCGAACAGCACUCGUACCGAUCUAAAGAUACAUUUUCUCGGUACGACAAUGCGUGGCUGGCUUGCCAAUUACCGUAUAGACGAGAGUGCACGGUUGUCCUUUCCACGAAGACGUCGCGUCUCGUCGCGUCAUGAUUCUCGUAGAAGAGACCUGAUUAUCGAGGAAGAGCGGUCGGUGUCGCGCGAUUUUGUCUGAUCGCCAAAUCCAGCGAGUAAGUAGGUAUCACGGUCUUUCGCAACGAAGCAACACGUUUUUGGUCGGUGAUGCAAUUUCAUUGCUAAUUACGUCACUUUUCAUGUAUAUGUAUUUUUGAAAAUAUCUGGACGAGUAGAGACCGGUGGUUCAGACGGUUCACGAAUGUUUUACGAUCGAUUUUAUUGAACGGCGUAGAUCGACGAACGAGAGACCUUUGUAAAGUUCAAAAUCGUCAAUAAAUGGCCGACCAUAAUUCGACGAAGAGGAAGAGGAACUGCUUAAAAUGUAAAGCUUAGAAGGUGGUUGGCUGGCUGGCUGGCUGGCUGGUUGCCUCCGGGAUCUUGGAGCAGCGUAUUUUCAAGCAAACAUUGCGACAGAGUGGAGCCAUUCGACUUUACAAACUUUGCAUUUACAUAAAACCAAAGCAAAGCUGGUCGACUGUAUUAAGUUCAAGAUCACGAGGAAUCCUCGAAGCACCGAAUCCCUACGCGCUGCGUCACGAUCAAGAAUAUCGUUAACAUCUCUUCCACGAGUGUCCUUAGAGUUAAACGAUAUUCAAAUUCAAAACAGACCGCGGCGGCCGUUAUGGCUAUACAUAUAUACAAACGAGCACGUUUCUUUGAACUCUCCUGUAACCUUCCUUCAUGAUGGGUAGUUUUUACCGAUCGAAGAAUCAUCGGCUAUUGGUCAACAAUUUUAAAUCUCAAGUCUCUAGUCAAAAUGAGUCGAAGCGCGUCGACAUUAUUUAUCGUCUAAGUUUCAAGGUACGUGCAAAAUUUACGAAUUGGAAACAAAUACUUUUCAAUUUCUUUUCUUUUUUUUUUUUUACUGCUAUAACGUAUCUGUACAGAAUAUAUGAAGAAAGAGAUGAGUAGCGAAUACAACCAUCUUAGUUUUCAUGUUUAGAAAAUUUGAUUAAGCGACGAUGGCUCAUAUAAAAUUUAGUAAUAAAUUCAAUGAAAUUUGGUCGAUCGAACGAAGGUCGAGCCUCUCGUUAGAAUAAGAGCUACUUCAGUAGCAUCGAACAAAAGUGAGAUAUAAAAACGUGUCGACAGUCACGCGCAUCAUAAAAGAACUUUUUCAAUCUGGCAUUUAUUACACGAUAACACUCGAUUACAUAACUUUCUCAUUGUUAAUUGAAAGAGGUUGUAAAUAGUUGGUGAAACGAGCGAAACAGCUACUUUUGCUUUAGCAGAGUUCUGGCAACUGACCCGUUCUAUGCAACGACGAGGAAAUUACAGUACACUUGAAUCGCUGGUAGGCAAUAAAACGGAAGUUUAUCUCAAAGGAAAACGUUUAACCACAAUGCUUAAAAUUCAUUCUAUUACUAUCGCGUGCUGCCUCAUGUUUUUUUUUUUGCAUCUACGAACGUAUAAUUGCAUUCAAUAACAUCGCGCAAGGUGUUAAUAAGAAAAUUGUUUUAGGCAUUCAGCAGAAUAAUCAUAUAUUGCAAGUACGCUAUUUUUUAGGCAGCCUAUGUAUCUAUAAACUGGAAAAUGACCGAUCAAUGAAUAUUUUUACAAAGUGCUCACUGUCGAUGCAACGUUUAUUUCUAAAUGUACGAGGCAUCAAAUAUUGAUCGCUAGUGACAUCUAAACUCUUGUACGUUGUUUAGACAGAACGGUUUGGAUACGCGACUGUGAAUUUCGGAGCAGUCUAUUUCCCUCCCUCACACACACACGAUUGUUCACACGAACGAACGAACGAACAGAAGGCACGAUAUACACCGAUGAAACCACCUGUACAAAUCGGCGAACGUGGAGCGGUAUCUCGUUGCGGUAGUGGGCAGUGAAUGGCUGUCGCACGCGGAGCAAUUGCUCGCUCGAAGAAGAAUUCAAGAGGAGUUCUCGCGUUUUCCACAUGGCACACGACCUAAUUCGUCCAUCUUACGUAAGCGACAACAUUGGAUCAUUCAUGCUCAGCUGAUCGCAAUACGCGCGCGCUGCUGCAAUUAAUGCGCGAGUACACCGGUACUUUUCUAUCUGUAGAAAUACGCACAAAGGGGUUUCUAAAUAUAAUUUCCACGGGUUAACGGUCGAUCCGUUUUAAGAUUUAAUCAAGUCGGACGAUGUUUUACGACGGUGGUUUAUGAACGGUACGAAAAUUAUCCAACCGCUUCCGUCAGUGUCACUGCGUCAGAUGGUACAGUAGCUCGUAAAAGAAGCGGAUUUCACGGCGCAACAUUUGAGACAAAGUACCGUAUUCGGUUCGAUUUUAUCGAUCGACCGAUAACAGAGGACCCGAUACACAAAGAAUUUAGCCUUGGCCUACUGUUUCACCGAGUUCGGGACACGAACCAACGAAUCACUGUCGCAAAAGUCGAGCGUGAGUGUUGAUAGUCCGUUGCACAACGAUAGAAACGUGCCCACGAUGUUCUUUCCCGGCUGGCGGCUUUAAUGGAGCGAUUCGUACCGUUUGUGAAUCGUGAUUAACACGAUUCGGUAUGCUCGACAUUGUGUCCUGUUUUUCAGCCAGCUGAUGGAUCGCGCCUCGAGGCCACUUGACCUACAUUAUUUUUCGCAACGAGGCCCACCUUUUUGUCAUAUCGUUUCUACACUUCCCUGGAGAUUUGCUGCAAUCAUUUAAACGAGAGCACGCGAGAAGCGAGAAACGAGAAGACAAGAAGAAGUUACGCAAUGCUUCUCUAAGCUGAAAGAAGAACUGAAAUCUUAUAUUGGGUCAGUGGAAAUUUGUCCAAAGAAAAAGAAGUUCGAAAAAUAAUUCUGUAGGGAGUUAACUGUACAGAAUUGUGUAGCGAGUUCCCUCUGUUUCGUCGCAACGCAACGUAAUCAUACGUUGGAAAAUAAAGAUUCGAUUGGAUGAUUCUCCUUUGACCGUCUCGAUUACAUGGAAGUCGUCCGCGCAGGGGUAGGGAGUGGAAUUUCUCAUCGAGCGGGCUACCGAAGUCCAUGCCGCGGGAGAAAGUUUCGGCAUCGACGGGAAUUACGCACCGUUGAAAUAAUCGUUCGUCCGUGCAAAUACUUAGUCGUCCCUCGUCUAACGAACUUUGUUCAAGUGCAAUUACAAUCGUGAGACGUGAUUGAACGUCUAGAUAUUCAUCGUCGAA